rnacentral:rRNA from 1 species
GCAAGUCGAGCGAAGCACUUUGCUUAGAUUCUUCGGAUGAAGAGGAUUGUGACUGAGCGGCGGACGGGUGAGUAACGCGUGGGUAACCUGCCUCAUACAGGGGGAUAACAGUUAGAAAUGACUGCUAAUACCGCAUAAGACCACAGCACCGCAUGGUGCGGGGGUAAAAACUCCGGUGGUAUGAGAUGGACCCGCGUCUGAUUAGCUGGUUGGUAAGGUAACGGCUUACCAAGGCGACGAUCAGUAGCCGACCUGAGAGGGUGACCGGCCACAUUGGGACUGAGACACGGCCCAAACUCCUACGGGAGGCAGCAGUGGGGAAUAUUGCACAAUGGGGGAAACCCUGAUGCAGCGACGCCGCGUGAGCGAAGAAGUAUUUCGGUAUGUAAAGCUCUAUCGGCAGGGAAGAAAAUGACGGUACCUGACUAAGAAGCGCCGGCUAAAUACGUGCCAGCAGCCGCGGUAAUACGUAUGGUGCAAGCGUUAUCCGGAUUUACUGGGUGUAAAGGGAGCGUAGACGGAUGGGCAAGUCUGAUGUGAAAACCCGGGGCUCAACCCCGGGACUGCAUUGGAAACUGUUCAUCUAGAGUGCUGGAGAGGUAAGUGGAAUUCCUAGUGUAGCGGUGAAAUGCGUAGAUAUUAGGAGGAACACCAGUGGCGAAGGCGGCUUACUGGACAGUAACUGACGUUGAGGCUCGAAAGCGUGGGGAGCAAACAGGAUUAGAUACCCUGGUAGUCCACGCCGUAAACGAUGACUACUAGGUGUCGGGUGGCAAAGCCAUUCGGU